UAUUGAGGUCUCCGAGCAAGCCGCCAGCACUACCAGAUGUUACCUGAAGACCUCAUGCUCCUAGGGAGGAGCAAGCAGAUUCAAGCCGGCGCUCACCGCCCUCAGCAGGCAGGGAGACAGAGGCCCUGGGAGCAGACAACGAUGGAGAACAGAAACCAAGAAAAGAGGGACUGCCAGCCAAGAUGGUAUCGGUAGACACACUGUGCUUCCUCCCACAACUAAAAGGACAACAAAUUUAAAAUAAAAAAACAACCAGAACUGACAGAAAAUCAAACUGUAUGGAAAUCCGACAACCAAGGAGUUAAAGAAGAAACAUUCCCCCAAACAGAUCCAAGAAGCCCAACAAAAGAAAUGCCAAGCAAAAAAGAGAAGAACAAGAAGAACCAGAAUGAGAACAAGAACACGAACAAGAACAAGAAGAACCAGAACAAGAGCAACAAGAAGAUGACACCAGAGCACAUGAUAUCACAUUGCUUAAAAUCAGUGAUGAAGCUUUCUCAUCUGCCAGCUGAGAAUCAUGAAACCCAUCGCGCCAACCCCGCAGGACCAUGAGGAGGCAAGGAUAAGGACCACGAAGCACAUAAGCAGCUCUCUGAGUAUACUGCUUGUGAGUGAUCUAAAAAAGUCUGCAAUUCCUCAUGAAAAUAAGACAAACCUACGUUCCCAAGACAGAAGAAAGUCUCCACGUUGGACGAGGCAGCUCUGAUUCCUGUGCCCCAGGUCCACUCUCCCCUUCCCGAGCCCCUGUCCUGGGCACCUUUGCACCUUCACACGAGAAGCAGAGCACCAAGAACCUCGGCGUUUGUUCUCCGUCCCACUGUGGAAUGCGAGGUGCGCCUACACGCUCACUGAAGACUGAGGCCCAGCAAAAGGAAACCAAUGAGGAGAAUACACGGAACAGGGGACCUGGUGCAAAAUAGCCAUUUGCUUAUCAUUUACAUAAUCAGUAAACUCUGACCGGGCACCUGCUGGGUGCCCAGGGCUGUCAGUUGUGGGGUUGACUGACCCUCUGCGCCAUGUUGGAGCUACCUAGACCCUUGUAGGGGAUGUGCUGUGUUCACCUGUCCUGGUCCUGCCUGCCUUCAUGUGGCCGAAGUCGUCGGCAGUACCACCUGCCUCUCUGCAUCUUCCAACACCCCGUGGCUAACAAGGAACGCUAACAAGGAACGCACACUUUGUCUCUGUCCCCCGGGGAAUCUCCGGAGUGCUAAGAGUGUCUUUUGUAUGCUAAUGAGACCCCUGGGGGCUGGGGGUCCUUGGACUGCUGCAGGACAGGGCUGGUCCAAGGCAUGAGUAGGGAGUCGGUGCCCUCAGCCCCACCCCGGGCCUCCGGGGAGGGCAGAGGGGCUAGAGAUUGAGUUAACCCCUGGGGGUCAA